rnacentral:tRNA from 1 species
GGAGGCGUGGCAGAACGGUAAUGCAGCUCGUUGCUAACGAGUCACCGCACCUGUGCGGUUGGGGGUUCGAAUCCCUCCGCCUCCG